rnacentral:rRNA from 1 species
GGAUUAGAAACCCGGGUAGUCCACGCCGUAAACGUUGGGCACUAGGUGUGGGGCCUUAUCAACGGGUUCCGUGCCGUAGCUAACGCAUUAAGUGCCCCGCCUGGGGAGUACGGCCGCAAGGCUAAAACUCAAAGGAAUUGACGGGGGCCCGCACAAGCGGCGGAGCAUGUUGCUUAAUUCGAUGCAACGCGAAGAACCUUACCUGGGUUGAACUACGCGGGAAAAGCCACAGAGAUGUGGUGUCCCGAAAGGGCCCGCGAUAGGUGGUGCAUGGCUGUCGUCAGCUCGUGUCGCGAGAUGUUGGGUUAAGUCCCGCAACGAGCGCAACCCUUAUCCCAUGUUGCCAGCGGGUUAUGCCGGGGACUCGUGGGAGACUGCCGGGGUCAACUCGG